UACGUAGGGUCCAAGCGUUAUCCGGAUUUAUUGGGCGUAAAGAGCGUGUAGGCGGCCAUGUAGGUCCGUUGUGAAAACUCGAGGCUCAACCUCGAGACGCCGAUGGAAACCAUGUGGCUAGAGUCCGGAAGAGGAGAGUGGAAUUCCUGGUGUAGCGGUGAAAUGCGCAGAUAUCAGGAAGAACACCCGUGGCUAAGGCGGCUCUCUAGUACGGUACUGACGCUGAGACGCGAAAGCGUGGGGAGCGAACAGG
rnacentral:rRNA from 1 species